rnacentral:tRNA from 1 species
GGGGAAUUAGCUCUAAUUGGGAGAGCAUCUGCUUUGCACGCAGGGGGUUAUCGGUUCGAAUCCGUUAUUCUCCACCA